rnacentral:lncRNA from 1 species
UCUAUUGUUAAAAAAAAUCCUCUACAUGUAUAGGUAUUGUGAGCUGGGAUGAAUACGGUCACGUUUGUACGGAAUAUAUGUUUGUUUCCGUUCGUAACAAUUCGUGUUAGAUAUUCAGGGCCGUGUGUACGAAUCAAACUUUUUAAAAUUCCAGUCGCAUCUAUCGUGCAUUUUGUCGUCGUUCUACAUUGAUUCUCAUUGUGAAAAAAAAUCAUGGGGCCAUGUGUUCAAAACUUUCAUCGCCAUUUUGUAGAGAUUUCUGCCAAACCCAAUUUUUCUUGCGUUAUCCUCUGUACUUAUGUUGACAGAUUAUGUACAGGUUUCCAGGGCCAUGUGAACAUGUCUUAAUUUGUUUUUGUAACAUAUAUAUCUAAUUAUGCAAAGUUAUUUUAGGGCCAUGUGGUGCAGUUAAGUAUCAAUAGCUAUUUGAUUAAUGGUGGAUCUACGUUUUCUUGUAUACUCUAUGUGUUCCUCACCUGUUGUAACUUCACUGUGGUUCAUGGAGUGAAAUACUCUAUUGGGCCAUGUUUAAAUAUCUACUUUAUUUGUCCAUGUGACAAAAUUUUCUUGGAGAUAUAUUGCUCUACAUGUAUAGGGCCAUGUGCAGCUCUUACGCAUUCCGUUAAACAUUACGGUCGUGAAACGUAAUCAGAAUGAUGGUUUCAAUGAUUCCAUGAUUAUUUUGCGACAAGUGAUAAUAGUCUCUGAUCCUUGUAGUAAUGUGUCUUACUGACAUGUAUCAUUAUUGUUUGUGAUUUGUUUUAUAUCCGAUUCGCAAUGAUCGAUAAUUGCCUUUGUGUUAGGGCCAUUGUGUCAACUUAGUUGAUUGUAAAUCAGGUGUAAUGACGCCUGUUACGUCGGAUACACUUUAUAAUCGCUCUGUAUAGUAUAUAACCUGAACUUACAGGGUGAAACAAUGUUCAUCAGUUGAUUUUUUUUUUUAACAAGCACAACACAAGUUGAGGUUUUGAUCGAUGGUAAUUUUCAAUUCUGAUAAGUCCGAUCAAAACUGGUCUGCAAUGUGAAUGUUGUUUCCCUUUGAACCGGUGCGCGUUGCUUUGUCCAAUGUCCAUACUGGAAUUAUCAUCUUCGCGAUCAGUAUAGGCCAUAUAUAUUUAGAAUAACCUAAGCUUUCUUUCUCAACGGUUGAAUCCACUAGUGGUCAGGUAGGGGCCACUAACUGGAUUAUCUUCACCGUCUACAUGUUAGAUACUUUGCAACCAUUUACAGACCUAAAGUAAGUUACCCUUUUUCUAUGAGUGUAUCUUAAUAGUGGUCAGGUAAGGACCAUUAAUAUACGUCUCCUUCUCUUUAUACCACAGCACCACAAAUUUGAUCAGGAAACCACUGUACAUGUAGUAACAUAACCUAGCUCCGCUAGGAAGACUUCUUUUAUUUUCAGCAACUUGCAAUUAGAUUAGAAGGACCAGUUAACCAGAGUGCUCAUGUCAAAAGCUGAUGACACGGAGGAACCGGAAGCAGGGAGGAGGAACACCGGAUGACUGAGGACCCUGCUUGCCGGGCAUCCCAUCACUGAUUUCCCAGAGAUGACGGUCUACAAGAUGAGAUAUCAUUCUGGACGAAGAUGCGAUCACUUCUGAAUCCCAAGGAACCGGAAGCAGGGAGGAGGACCGACGGAAGGACUGAUGACCUGCUUGCAGAGCAAGUCUUCACCAAUUCUUGAGAUUCCUCUUGCUUCGUAUAAGCAGCAGAGAUGAGAUAUCAUUCUGGACAAAGAUAUGAUCAAUUCUGAAUUCCAAGGAACCGGAAGCAGGGAGGAGGACCGACGGAAGGACUGAUGACCUGCUUGCAGAGCAAGUCUUCACCAAUUCUUGAGAUUUCUCUUGCUUUGUACAAGCAGCAGAGACGAUGACAAAACAUAAAGGAGUGCAGUUGUUUGCUAGGGCAGCUAGGAACACGAAUUCACUGACUGAUGAGUUUUACAAUAGUUAGCUCCUGAAAGUUCCCAUACGUUUCUCCCAAAAAGUCCGACUAAUCCGAGGGAUGUAUGAUGACACCAUCCCAUUUCGAAAUCCCGCCGAAAUCCUGCCAAGCAUGUAGAUGUCGGCUUAUUUAAUCAAUUGGUUUAAGUCGUACCUUAGCCUGAGUCAGUCAGUACCUUAGGUCGUAGUCAGUCCGAGUUUCAUUGGGAUUCUAUUUUUCGAGUUUAAAACACUAUAUUUUUCAGUCGUUUUAUUUUAAAUGUUUGACAGUCUCUCAAGUGAUUGAAUCUAUUAGUGUUACACAUCAAGACCGAUCACUGGAUGACAUUUUCCGAAAAUGGCACUCAUCUAUCGAGAGAAAUAUAAGAUCAGAUAACCUGUUCUCAUGGGCCCAAUGAACACUGAAUUAAUUAUGUAUGGCGCCUUGAACGUCUAAACUGGUCGGUAUGCCUUAAAUUUACCCAUCAGGCCCAUGCAGUUGACUGCAAUGCGUUGAUUUUCCUGAAACUGUUCGCGAGAACCCGACUCCUGCAUGCCCUGUAAAACUUACGGCCCAUUGUUCUGGCGGAAUUAAGCCGAUUUAAGAGCAGAUUUGAAACUUACCACAAUGAGUAAAUGAUCUAUGCCGUUAACAUCGACAAUGAAAAUGUGGUCACUCUGCAGCAAUGCAACUUGACAAACACAUAU